rnacentral:tRNA from 1 species
UCCCCAUUGGUGUAAUCGGCAACACAACAGGCUCUGACCCUGUUAUUCCUAGUUCGAAUCUAGGGUGGGGAGC